AGAAACGAAACAGUGAUGUGGAGUAAAACUUAAAAAGCGGUCCCAGUUCGAAUUGAAGGCUGAAAUUCGCCUUCAUGAAGUCGGAAUUGCUAGUAAUGGCAGGUCAGCAUACUGCCGUGAAUACGUUCCCGGGCCUUGUACACACCGCCCGUCACACCAUGAGAGUUGGAAAUACCCGAAGCCUGUGAGCUAACAGUAAUGAGGCAGCAGUCGAAGGUAGAGCCAAUGAUUGGGGUGAAGUCGUAACAAGGUAGC
rnacentral:rRNA from 1 species